rnacentral:rRNA from 1 species
GAUGAACGCUGGCGGCGUGCCUAAUACAUGCAAGUCGAGCGAACAGACGAGGAGCUUGCUCCUCUGACGUUAGCGGCGGACGGGUGAGUAACACGUGGAUAACCUACCUAUAAGACUGGGAUAACUUCGGGAAACCGGAGCUAAUACCGGAUAACAUGUUGAACCGCAUGGUUCAACAGUGAAAGACGGUUUUGCUGUCACUUAUAGAUGGAUCCGCGCCGCAUUAGCUAGUUGGUAAGGUAACGGCUUACCAAGGCAACGAUGCGUAGCCGACCUGAGAGGGUGAUCGGCCACACUGGAACUGAGACACGGUCCAGGCUCCUACGGGAGGCAGCAGUAGGGAAUCUUCCGCAAUGGGCGAAAGCCUGACGGAGCAACGCCGCGUGAGUGAAGAAGGUCUUCGGAUCGUAAAACUCUGUUAUUAGGGAAGAACAAAUGUGUAAGUAACUAUGCACGUCUUGACGGUACCUAAUCAGAAAGCCACGGCUAACUACGUG